rnacentral:lncRNA from 1 species
GGGUAUUGUUUAAGGCCCAAUUUUAGCCACGGUCCUUAAGCUCAUAAUCUCAGAGUUAAAAAAAAAAACAAGAAUCCGCUGAUAUCGUCCUCUGAUCAGUUGGUUGCAUAGCUCGUUGUGUGUAAGAAGAGAUGAAUCUGAAUAUGAAUUCAGUAGAAUCACUGGUGGCUCAAAUCCAAGGGCUAUCGAGCAAUGCAUCAGACGUAACUCAGCUUCACAACUUCCUCAAACAAUCGGAAGAGCUUCUCCAUUCCGACUUCGGUCGCCUGCUCUCUUCGCUCGCUGAACUUGACCCGAACACUCAUUCCCUCGGCUUCCUCUAUAUCCUGUAAACUUCCCUUUUUCUCGCCUGCUCUCUUCGCUCGGUGAACUUGACCCCAAUGUUCACUCCCUCGGCUUCCUCUAUAUCCUGUAAACUUCCCUUUUUCCUCCUUAUCUGUUAGGAGUACUAUGUGUUUGUUCCCAAAUUUUAGGGUUUAUGAGGCUUCCCUUAUUAAUUUUGGAUUUGAGGCAGACUUGAUUAAUGAGUUGAUUACGUAAUCUAUAUUAUCACAGAAUUCAACCAUCUGUGGAAUAAAGCGCAGUGUGUGUUUCACAGCAAUAUUGCAG